rnacentral:sRNA from 1 species
GCUGGGCAUGGUGGUGCAUGCCUGUAGUCCUAGCUACUUGGGAGGCUGAGGCAGGAGAAUCGCUUGAACCCGGGAGGCAGAGAUUGCAGUGAGCCAAGAUCGCACCACUGCACUCCAGCCUGGGUGACAAAGCAAGACUCUGUCUCAA